rnacentral:lncRNA from 1 species
CCAAGACUCUUAAACCAUGCUUGAAUGACCCUGGUGAUUUGUGUGUGUGUGUGUGUGUGUGUGUGUGUGUGUGUGUGUGUGUGAAGAAUUGUUGUAGCAGAGAACCUAGUCUCAUAACUUUCUGUCCUGUAGCGAUUAAAAAUUCAUCUGAAAACGCAAAAAGAGGCAAAACUUACCGCAAAUAAAUAUUUCUAGUAAUUCCCAAAUGUUCAUAAUCUGCUUGCUUAUAUGAAUCUCAGGAGUUAGUUACACGUUGAUUUAGAUGGCAGCUCUGCUUUGGAAUGAUUUUAUUCGUGGGGUAAUUCCACCGAGGUCCAAGAGAUGGCGCCAAACCACUCACGUACUGCUCGCUGUCCCCGGGGCUAAGACUGGGCUUGGUCAAGCACUUAUUUUUUUCAGAGCACUUUAGAGGUUACUUUCUCUUCGGAGAAGAAAGUCUUGGGUGUUGGCUUCUCUUGGGGCUUGAGUUUGACUCCUUGCUACCCUGGAGCUUGUCCUCCGCAGUUUCACGAGUCUUAUUGCACAUUCCAAGUGUGUUUAGGGAUCCCAGUGACAGUGCUUACUACUCUGUUUUGAUGGAGAUGAUGGGUCAACCUAGUCUGUUCUGUUGCUGCUGUGAUAAAUCAUUGCCAACUCAGUGCCUCACAACAAGGAACAUUUAUGUUUCUCCAGAUCCAUGAAGGAGUCUGAGGCAAGUCUGGUAGGUCUACAAUCAAGGCAUCAGUGAGGCUGAAUUCUUCCUGUAGACCGUUGAGGAGCAAACAAUUCAUUUGUCACUUCCAGUUUCUAGAAGCUGCCUGUAUUCAUGGCCUUCCCUAUGGUUUAAAUAUUGAUCUAGAGAUUUCACAUACUAGAAAUCACCAAAGUCAUAUGUGAAUAACAUGUAGAGGCAGGGUCUUCAGCAGAGCCCUUAUGAAUGCUGAAGGAAUCCAUCAACCUAUUUGUGGAUUAAUACAUUAGUGAGAUGUAAAGGGAGCGGCUUUGCGACAGAGCCCCCCCCCCCAUCUUGUGUACCUGCUUCCGUAUCUAACUUGGGUAAUCUUUUCCACAUUACUCAUUAUCACUGAUAUGUACAUCGAUGUCUGUGAUCUAACAUGAUGCAUAUGAGGCCUUCUAGGUUCCGAAAAAAAUAGUUAUUGCUGACAUACUUUAGCCUCACACACCUUCUAGAUUCUUCCAUGUGCUUUUUCUUUUCUUCCUGAAACAUGCUAUCCCUACAUAGCCAAGGCUGGCCUAAAACCCUCAACCCCCUUGACUGGGCUUCUCAAGGGCAAAUAUUACCCUACCUAAUGGUGGCUGGCUUCUCCCGUGUUUUGACAUAGUUUGCUUUUUUCUCCCAUUUUGUGUUAGAUGUAGGAACUUCAAAGUUUCUGAUUGUCAUGUGCUGAAUCUCAUUUCCUUCAGUUUGUAGCUUCUAGGCUAAUAGUUGUUGGAGAAAUACAUACUCCUUCUCAUGAAGCAUGGUCAAAAGAUCAGAUACAGAGACUAAAAAUAAAUCUCUGGCAUUAAAGGAACA